UAGAUGGAGUAUGUCAGGGUGGAGGC
rnacentral:piRNA from 1 species